rnacentral:rRNA from 1 species
UUGCACGCUGGCGGCCGGCCUAACACAUGCAAGUCGAGCGGAUGAAGGGAGCUUGCUCCUGGAUUCAGCGGCGGACGGGUGAGUAAUGCUUAGGAAUCUGCCUGGUAGUGGGGGAUAACGUCCGGAAACGGGCGCUAAUACCGCAUACGUCCUGAGGGAGAAAGUGGGGGAUCUUCGGACCUCACGCUAUCAGAUGAGCCUAGGUCGGAUUAGCUAGUUGGUGGGGUAAAGGCCUACCAAGGCGACGAUCCGUAACUGGUCUGAGAGGAUGAUCAGUCACACUGGAACUGAGACACGGUCCAGACUCCUACGGGAGGCAGCAGUGGGGAAUAUUGGACAAUGGGCGAAAGCCUGAUCCAGCCAUGCCGCGUGUGUGAAGAAGGUCUUCGGAUUGUAAAGCACUUUAAGUUGGGAGGAAGGGCAGUAAGUUAAUACCUUGCUGUUUUGACGUUACCAACAGAAUAAGCACCGGCUAACUUCGUG